rnacentral:rRNA from 3 species
UGUCAAAACGACUCUCGGCAACGGAUAUCUCGGCUCUCGCAUCGAUGAAGAACGUAGCGAAAUGCGAUACUUGGUGUGAAUUGCAGAAUCCCGUGAACCAUCGAGUCUUUGAACGCAAGUUGCGCCCGAAGCCGUCAGGCCGAGGGCACGUCUGCCUGGGCGUCACGC